rnacentral:RNase_P_RNA from 1 species
AGUAGAGCGGGUAAUCGCUGGCAAGGUAACUUGCAAGAGGAAAGUCCGGGCACCAUAGGGCGAAGAUGCCAGCUAACAGCUGGACAUCGCGAGAUGAUGGCUAGUGCCACAGAAACAGAGACCGCCGAUGGAUGCGCAAGCAUCACAGGUAAGGGUGGAAGCGUGAGGUAAGAGCUCACGAGGUAGGUAGGCAACUGCUUAUCUGGUAAACCCCAUCUGGUGCAACUCUAAGAGUAGGACAGGUGUUUAAUCACCGAACGUGCUGCCCGUACGUGUCCUUGAUGGUAAGAGGCUUGAGUUUAUCUGUGAAGGUAAACCUAGAUAAAUGAUUACCACUCCAAGAGGUGGGAGCAGACGAUGCGAUAUGACCACCUGGAGAACAGAACCCGGCUUAUAGCUCUACUUC